AGAGCCUAUCUUUCAGAUCAAAAGGUUAAAAUCAUCUCAAUUUCUAAAAACAUCUAAUACAAAAAAAAAUAUAUAUUAUGGGUAAUACAAAAACUUUGAUGACUUGUUUACUUGUAAUAAUAUUUGCAGUUUUGUUGUCUAACCACAACGUUUUGGCUUCAGAUGCAGAGAGCAAAAGGAAAUUCUCAUUUGACAACUGCAGCACUUUGUGUACGCCUAAAUACGGAUGGUUUGAGUGCAUGACUGAUUGUUACUUGGCUGACUUCAACAAUGGUGGAGACUGUGCUUCUCCUUCUCCUAAAGAGCCCAAAAGAUGUUGUUGCCAAAAGUAAUUCAGACUUUUUAUAUUCCCUUUCUCAAAAGCUGUGGAUUCUCUAAGUACUUAUUGGACUUAAUGAUCUUUAUUUUGAUUUUACAAAUAAAUGCAAUGAUAUUUGAAAAUUAUUUA